CUCCAGACUCCUACGGGAGGCAGCAGUGAGGAAUAUUGGUCAAUGGUCGGGAGACUGAACCAGCCAAGUCGCGUGAGGGAAGAAUGUCCUAUGGAUUGUAAGCCUCUUUUGUCAGGGAGCAAAGUCACCCACGUGUGGGUGUUGGAGAGUACCUGAAGAAAAAGCAUCGGCUAACUCCGUGCCAGCAGCCGCGGUAAUACGGAGGAUGCGAGCGUUAUCCGGAUUUAUUGGGUUUAAAGGGUGCGUAGGCGGGCUGUUAAGACGGGGGAAAAGGCCCGGGGCUCACCCCGGGCGAGCCGUUGAAACUGGCAGUCUCGAGUUGGAGAGAAGUAUGCGGAAUGCGCGGUGUAGCGGUGAAAUGCAUAGAUAUCGCGCAGAACUCCGAUUGCGAAGGCAGCAUGCCGGCUCCACACUGACGCUGAGGCACGAAAGCGUGGGUAUCGAACAGGAUUAGAUACCCUGGUAUA
rnacentral:rRNA from 1 species